CACCGCGGUUAUACGAGAGGCUCAAGCUGAUAGACGCCGGCGUAAAGGGUGGUUAAGAAAUAACAAAACUAAAGCCGAACUUCUCCAAGGCUGUCAUACGCACCCGGAGAAAUGAAGAACCCCUACGAAAGUGGCUUUAAACCUCUGAACCCACGAAAGCCAGGAUA
rnacentral:rRNA from 1 species